UCAUGAGCAAGUUGGGGAUGAUCAUUAUCUAUCGUGAAGAGAUCCAAAGCUUAGCUAACAUAUUUAUGCAAUUAGAAAUGAAGAAGGUAGUAAGGAAGUGAGCACCACACAGGCCAGUAGCCUCCAGGAUCAUAACCUUUAUACUUAUAUCUGCAGAGAAUACUUUGAAUGAUAAUGGAACACAUGGCAUACUGUGAGAGAUGAGUUUCACUUUUUCUUUUCCCACUUCCUCAUGCCCUGUAAGUGAAGUGACUACAAGUAUCUGCCUAAAAUAAAUAUCACCAACUAUGUUAAGUACAA